rnacentral:rRNA from 1 species
UACGUAGGGCGCAAGCGUUGUCCGGAAUUAUUGGGCGUAAAGAGCUCGUAGGCGGCCAGUUGCGUCCGCUGUGAAAUCCCAGGGCUUAACCCUGGGCGUGCAGUGGAUACGGGCUGGCUGGAGGCAGGCAGGGGAGAACGGAAUUCCCGGUGUAGCGGUGAAAUGCGCAGAUAUCAGGAGGAACACCAAUGGCGAAGGCAGCACUCUGGGACGUGACUGACGCUGAGACGCGAAAGCGUGGGGAGCAAACAGG